CAGUCUCCGAGGCUUGGCAAAGCAGGAGCCCUCCUUGGCAGUGCUUGGGUGUCGGGGCUCUGAGGCUCCGGCCUGACCUCUUCACGGGGUCGACGGGAUCGUCUCCGGAUGCCAGGAGUCCCAAAGGGCCGACCAGGAUGAGGAAACCCCAGGCGGAGUCCGGGGGAAGCAGCACGGCAUCCCAGCCUCAGGCCUGCCCGGACGGUGAUGGUUGGGGUAAGAUUGGGGAAGAUGCCAGGUGAUAGAAUCCACCCUGCCUCUGACAGCAUCCAAUCUGGAGCAAAGGCUUCUUUCAACCUUCCCCCAAGCUCCCAAUACAAGCCCAAAUUCUGGAACAAGUCCUUUCCAACACCUCCUUCAGAGAAGCUCCCUGGCUCCAGGCAGUGCUUGCUCCCCUCACUGCAGCAGGAAGCCUAACUUGCGAACUGCAGGUGUGCUCCAGGUGGUCACUGGAUGCAAGAAAUGGUGCGAGAACUUUGGAUGUGGAACGUGGAGGAGGAGGAACACGAAGUGGGGAUCUGCACUUGGGGUGGUCAGCACUGCGGAUGCCCAGCAAAGUCACUGCCUGGUCCACAUCCCGGAGGGGUCUCUGCGCCUCAGUCGGCAUCGCAGCUGAUGGUGAAACUUUUGGUGUGGCAGAAGAGUGUCCACAAACUUCGGAAGUUGCUAGAGAAAACUGAAAACUACUAGUUUUGAAAGCCUCACUUCUGCCAAUGGAAGCACAUUCCAGCAUGUCGCCAACGCAAUCCACUUUCCACCACUUUCACAAAAAACGUUACUGCACAAUUAUACUAUCCUACCCU
rnacentral:lncRNA from 1 species